rnacentral:rRNA from 1 species
UACGUAGGGCGCAAGCGUUGUCCGGAAUUAUUGGGCGUAAAGAGCUCGUAGGCGGUCUGUUGCGUCCGCUGUGAAAACCCGGGGCUUAACCCUGGGCUGGCAGUGGAUACGGACAGACUAGAGGUAGGUAGGGGAGAAUGGAAUUCCCGGUGUAGCGGUGAAAUGCGCAGAUAUCGGGAGGAACACCGGUGGCGAAGGCGGUUCUCUGGGCCUUACCUGACGCUGAGGAGCGAAAGCGUGGGGAGCGAACAGGA